ensembl:miRNA gmo-mir-145 gmo-mir-145
GUCCAGUUUUCCCAGGAAUCCCUUGUUGAACAUGAAAGCGGGAUUCCUGGAAAUACUGUUCU